GGUGAGGUCGCAUAGUGGCCUAGUGCGCUGCCUUGGAAAGGCAGUAUCCGCUAACGCGGAUCGUGGGUUCGAAUCCCACCCUCACCGCCA
rnacentral:tRNA from 1 species